rnacentral:rRNA from 1 species
AAUUUUGGACAAUGGGCGCAAGCCUGAUCCAGCCAUGCCGCGUGAGUGAAGAAGGCCUUCGGGUUGUAAAGCUCUUUCGGUUGGAAAGAAAUUGCCCAGGCUAAUACCCUGCGCGGAUGACGGUACCGUCAGAAGAAGCACCGGCGAACCACGUGCCAGCCGCCGCGGUAAUACGUAGGGUGCGUGCGUUAAUCGGAAUUACUGGGCGUAAAGCGUGCGCCGGCGGUUGAUUAAGACUGGCGUGAAAUCCCCGGGCUUAACCUGGAACUGCGCUUGUGACUGGGCAGCUAGGGUACGGCAGAGGGGGGUGGAAUUCCACGUGUAGCAGUGAAAUGCGUAGGGAUGUGGAGGAACACCGAUGGCGGAGGCAGCCCCCUGGGCCGAUACUGACGCUCAUGCACGAAAGCGUGGGUAGCAAACAGG